rnacentral:rRNA from 1 species
UACAGGGGGGGCAAGCGUUGUUCGGAAUUACUGGGCGUAAAGGGUCUGUAGGUGGCCAACUAAGUCGGAUGUGAAAUCCCCAGGCUUAACCUGGGAACUGCAUCCGAUACUGGAUGGCUUGAAUCCGGGAGAGGGAUGCAGAAUUCCCGGUGUAGCGGUGAAAUGCGCAGAUAUCAGGAGGAACACCGGUGGCGAAGGCGGGUCUCUGGGCCGAAAUUGACGCUGAGGAGCGAAAGCGUGGGGAGCAAACAGG